CGUGUAGGCGGGUUACUAAGUCGGCUGUGAAAGCCCACGGCUCAACCGUGGAAUGGCAGUCGAUACUGGUAGUCUUGAGUACGAGAGGGGAGAGCGGAACUCCUGGUGGAGCGGUGGAAUGCGUAGAUAUCAGGGGGAACAGCGGAGGCGAAGGCGGCUCUCUAGCUCGUAACUGACGCUGAGGCGCGAAAGCCAGGGGAGCGAACG
rnacentral:rRNA from 1 species